rnacentral:rRNA from 1 species
AACGAACGCUGGCGGCAUGCCUAACACAUGCAAGUCGAACGAGAAAGCUCUUCGGAGUGAGUAGAGUGGCGCACGGGUGAGUAACACGUAGGUCACCUGCCUUUUGGUGGGGGAUUAACUCGGAGAAAUCCGGGCUAAUACCGCAUAAGUAAGCAAUUAGAAAGAAUGCCUCUGUAUAUGCAUUUGCCGAAAGAUGGGCCUGCGGGACAUUAGCUUGAUGGUGGGGUAACGGCCUACCAUGGCGACGAUGUCUAGCGGAUUUGAGAGAAUGGUCCGUCACACUGGAACUGAGACACGGUCCAG